rnacentral:tRNA from 1 species
GCCGAUGUGGCGAAAUGGCAGACGCAACGGACUUAAAAUCCGUUUCCGGUAACCCGGAGUGCGGGUUCGAGUCCCGCCAUCGGCA